ACUUCAGGGCAGGGUGUGAUUCCCGACCGGCGGUAAAGCCCGCGAGCCGAAAGGCAGAUCCGAUGAAACUACGGAGCCGACAGUACAGUCUGGAUAAAAGAAGU
rnacentral:ncRNA from 1 species